rnacentral:siRNA from 1 species
GGACCGAGUGCCGCUCACG